GAUGAACGCUUAGCGGCAGGCCUAAUACAUGCAAGUCAAGGGGCCAGUAAUGGCACCGGCGACGGGUGCGUAACGCGUACACAACCUACCUGUCGGAGGGGGAUAACAUUGGGAAACUAUUGCUAAUACCCCAUAAGCUGAGGAGUUAAAGGUUUAAAUACCGCCGAUAGAGGGGCUUGCGUCUGAUUAGCUAGUUGGUGGGGGUAACGGCCUCCCAAGGCCACGAUCAGUAGCUGGUCUGAGAGGAUGAUCAGCCACACUGGGACUGAGACACGGCCCAGACUCCUACGGGAGGCAGCAGUGAGGAAUUUUUCGCAAUGGGCGCAAGCCUGACGAAGCAAUGCCGCGUGCAGGACGAAGGCCCGUGGGUCGUAAACUGCUUUUUCAGAGAAGAAUCAAUGACGGUAUCUGAAGAAUAAGCACCGGCUAACUCUGUG
rnacentral:rRNA from 1 species